UACAGAGACUGCAAGCGUUAUUCGGAUUCACUGGGCGUAAAGGGUGCGUAGGCGGUGGAGUAAGUCGGAUGUGAAAUACCAUAGCUUAACUAUGGAACUGCACUCGAUACUACUUUGCUAGAGUAAGACAGAGGUGAGUGGAACUGAGGGUGGAGCGGUGAAAUGCGUUGAUAUCCUCAGGAACACCGGUGGCGAAGGCGACUCACUGGGUCUUUACUGACGCUGAUGCACGAAAGCUAGGGUAGCAAACGGG
rnacentral:rRNA from 1 species